UAAGGAAUAUUGGUCAAUGGACGCAAGUCUGAACCAGCCAUGCCGCGUGAAGGAUGAAGGUCCUCUGGAUUGUAAACUUCUUUUAUCUGGGACGAAAACGGGAUUUUUAUCUCAAUUGACGGUACCAGAGGAAUAAGCACCGGCUAACUCCGUGCCAGCAGCCGCGGUAAUACGGAGGGUGCGAGCGUUAUCCGGAUUUACUGGGUUUAAAGGGUGCGUAGGUGGGCUUAUAAGUCAGUGGUGAAAUCUCCGAGCUUAACUUGGAAACGGCCGUUGAUACUAUAGGUCUUGAAUUAUCUGGAGGUAAGCGGAAUAUGUCAUGUAGCGGUGAAAUGCUUAGAUAUGACAUAGAACACCAAUUGCGAAGGCAGCUUACUACAUAUAAAUUGACGCUGAGGCACGAAAGCGUGGGGAUCAAACA
rnacentral:rRNA from 1 species